UUUAUAUGUUCCUAUCUUUUCUUUGACUUGAACGUUAAUAUGAUGAGAAUGAAGGUUAUUGGCUAUCAACAAAUAAUAAAUGUGUUGGUGCUCUAAAUCCUUGGAUAUCCUUAAGAGUAGAAAGCUUAGAGGUAAUUCUUAGUAUGAGUGAGGUGUGAAAUAUCAGUCAAGUUCUAAUACCAAGUUAACUUUUCAAGAGUUAUUGGUUACAAAUAUAUCAAGUCAUUGCUUUAACUUGUUGUGACAACAUAUUUUGACUUGUGCCUUGUAUCUCUGAAUUCAGAAUAUGAGAGCGUCUCCCCUUCUGACCAUUAUAAUGCAUUUUCCCUUUCACUGUUAUUUUUGAGGGGCUUACUGGUGAUGGGCUUGAACUCUACAGUCUGUGUAAUUGCAGGUGAUG
rnacentral:misc_RNA from 1 species